ACAUAUAUCUGAUUUGAUCUGUUAUAUGCAUAUAUAUACAUAUAUGUAAAGAAUCAUAUAUAUGUUAUAUAUAGUAUACUUUAUAUCAGUUUUACAAUAUUUUUUAUGAAUUAAAUUUAUUAUAUUUGGUACUAGAAUUUAAAAAGUUAAAUAAUGUUUUAUUUUUGUAAUAAAAUGAUGGGGAAUUUGCCAAAACUAACCCACAACUUGAUUUUAACCCCAAACCUAUACC
rnacentral:lncRNA from 1 species